UUACUUUGAAUUGGUCUUUCAGCCAAAUUUACUAAUACUAAGUAAAGAUUACUUAGUAUUAGUAAAUUUGGCUGAAAGACCAAUUCAGGUCU